AGUAUUUUUGCAAUUUGGUUAUCUGCUUAAUGGCUCUGAUCACAGGUCUUUUAUCUUUAUCCACGGGUUAAACCUGUGUUUUCAUAUUGCUUGUCAUUCGUUAAUUUUAACACAAAGAGGAAAUGAUUAUAUUAUUUAACAGAUUGUAUUCAAAUGUGUAUUUUAAUUUAAUAAUGUAGCAUUGUAUAUUUUUAUUUGCCAUUAUUCAAUCUGUCUUUACUGUUUCUGUAAUUGCUAAUAUGUUAUUAAUGUCAAUUAAUAAUGUUUGGGUGCUCAAACACAAUUUUGAAUUUUCUUCACUUGCAUACACACAGCUAAUUAUUUCAUCUUUGCAGGUUUAUCGGCUUUUUACUGAGUUUCUUUAUGCAACCUCCGAGUGAUAGUCAACAAAUGUGGCAGUGCAAAGAAUGCAAUUCGAAACUAGCUAGCAGGUACUUGUUGCUACAACAUUUUAGGCAGACUCAUGGGCAUUUUAGGGGCAGCUAUCGCUAUCCGUGUCCAUACACAGAUUGCCCGUGUACUUUCAAUACAUGGAGUAAGCUACUAAAUCACACAUACAAAAGUCAUGCUAAACAGCAAACUCCAAAGCCAGCAGAAUUAUCUACAUUCCAAUGUCACGUGUGCUCAUGCAGAGAACUAGCAACAGAAAGGGACUUUUUCCAUCACAUAAAUGGACAUCUAAGGCAUUAUGAAACAGUUCCGUGUGUGUUUCUAGGAUGCACAUUUAAAACUAACAUUUACAGUACAUUCAACACCCACAAAAACAGGAAACACGACCAACAUUCAUUAAAAGACUUCAGAGCCGAUGUCAUCAGUACAAGCACUCAGUUGAAUCAGUCAUGCAGUUCUACAGAUGAGACAGAGAAUUCUGAUGAAGAUCAUGAAUAUGAAACUCUAAGCUGUGUUGAUGGUGCAGAUUCACAUUUGCCAAACUUAGUUGAGGAGAAAAUUGCUUGCAUUUUAUUGAAGUUGGAAAAUAUAGUUCAUGUUCCAAAGGCAGUUAUUGAUGAGGUGCUGUCUGAACUUCACUACAUAUUAAGUACAGCAUCUUUACCUGUGACAAAAGCUAUUGUCUCUGAUCUUUUCCAUUGUCAUGAACUACAUGUUGAAGACUCAAUAGUUGAUGAAAUUUCCAACGUUCUAUGCAAAUCCAAUCCAGUGGUCAGAGCUGUUGCAACGGAGGGCCCUCUAGCAACUGCAUAUAAACGUAAACAGUACUAUACCUCUCAUUUUGGUGUCAUAGAGCCUGUUGAGUACAUACUAGAUGCCCAGAGGAAUAAGACAUUUCAGUACAUUCCUCUAUUACAAUCUUUGCAACAGUUGCUCUCUCACAAAGAAGUACUUGAACAAAUCUUGAAACUCAUAGAAUACAUGACGGGAAUUGGUCAGGUCUUCAAGAAUACAAAACCAUUAAAGAUGGUGAGUACUAUAAGCAAAACUCCCUUUUUUCUGGUGAUGACUUGAGAAUAGCAGUGAACCUUUAUAUUGAUGAUUUUGAGAUUUGUAACCCCCUUAGGACAUCUCGUAAGAAGCACAAACUCUGUGGUGUCUAUUGGGUUUUGGGUAAUUUGCCACCAGGUUGUCAUUCAACAUUAACUUCAAUCUAUUUAGCUGUUCUGUGUAAAACUGAUGAUCUCAAGGAGUUUGGCUACAAAAAAGUGUUGGAGCCUCUCCUAGAAGACUUGAAAAUAUUGGAACAGCACGGUGUCUUUAUUUCUAUGCUCGGUCAGUUAAAAGGUUCAAUCCAGUGUGUAAUAGCUGACAAUCUUGCAGCCCAUGGGAUAGGUGGAUUUGUUGAGAGUUUUUCUGGCGGGUCAAUAUGCAGGUUUUGUACAGGUGAUAAAUCUGAUUUUCAGAUUAAGGAUGUCAAGUCAGGUGCUUUUCAACUUAGAACCAGAGAAAUACAUAAUGGUCAUGUCCAGUUUGCUCUGGAGAAUGGAACUGUUUAUUGUGGUGUAAAAAAACAGUGUGUUUUAACAGAGUAUCUUUCACAUUUUCAUGUUAGCACUGGAUAUCCUCCUGAUAUUGUCCACGAUCUCUUUGAAGGGAUUGUUCCAGUUGAACUUGCACGCUGUAUUAGCUUGUUUAUCUCCAAAAAAUACUUCUGUCUUGAUGACAUAAACACAUUUAUAAAGACUUUUCCAUACAAAUGGGGGGACAAAACCAAUAGUCCACACGCCAUACCACGCACUUUCACAUCCACCAACACUAUAGGUGGAAAUGCGCAUGAAAAUUGGUGCUUGCUUAGACUGCUUCCCUUAAUGAUUGGGCAACUUGUGCCAGAAGACGAACCAGCAUGGCAAGUGAUUCUGGAUCUUAAGGACAUAGUUGAAUUGGUUGUGGCACCUGUUCACACCGAUGAGACAAUAGCUUAUCUUGAGGCCAAGAUUUGUGAUCAUAGACAGCGCUACCUUGAACUCUUUCCGCAUGUCAAGCUCCAACCCAAACAUCAUUAUUUGGAGCACUAUCCACAGAUGAUUCGUUGCUUCGGACCUCUAAGUGCACUGUGGACAAUGAGAUUUGAAGCAAAGCAUAGCUUCUUCAAGAAGGCUGCUCGUCAUAGAAAUUGUUUUAAGAAUAUAGCCCGUUCACUAGCUAUAAAACACCAGUUCAUGCUUGCCUAUCACUCACAUUCCUCUAGCCUUAAGAAGUCAUCCUUGGAGGUCACAGAUGUUUCAGUCAUGCCUGUUGAUGUCCUUAAUGAGGGAGUGGUGUCUAUAGUAAAGCAGAGAUACCCAGAUGUGACUGAGAUUCAUAUGGCAAAAAAUGUUUCUUGCAGUGGCAUACGUUACAGUAAGGGGAUGCUUAUUGUACAUGGCUCUGUUGAUGGACUGCCUAAAUUUAAUGAGAUCAUUCAACUGUGCACUGUUAGGGAGAAGUUGUGUUUUAUUGUACAGUAUGUGUGUGCCUGGUACAGGGAGCAUUAUCGUGGAUUUGAGCUAACUGCGUCACCAACUAGAGAGGUUGCCCUAAUUGAGCUCAGUGACUUGGAAGACCCAUUUCCCCUUGCAGAGUACAUGGUUGGAGGUUUGCGCAUGGUUAUGUUGAAAAGAUUCAUCAUCAUUAAAGAUUAAAAAGUGUUCAAUGAUGGCAUCUCCAGCUGUUCUGCGAAUCAUUUUUGGUGACGAGUCAGACUCAAGAAAACUGUCCCUGGCCUCUGGAAUUCCAGCAACAGUGGAUGAGCUGCAUACAUCACUAAAGACGUUCUUUCAGUUAAGAGGACUUCCGUUUGCAGUACAUGGAUGGAGACUUGGACGGGUUUGUAAACCUGACUUCUGUGUCUGAAAUUGCAAACAGAAGCACAUUGAGGGUAAUUUACUCUCCUGUCUUGCCACCUUUGGAGCCCUAUGUCACUUGGUACACAGUAGAUUCAUCUGGUGAGACCUCGAUUACCAGUUUCCCAGAACAUCAGACCCCUGCUUCAUCAAUAGCCUCAUCAAGCAGCAAUGAUACUGUGUUCAUCAACCCCGCAUUCAUCUCCAGAAACUCAGCCCUCAGGAUUGUACUCCUGGCCCAACGUGUUUCAUGUCCCUAAAUUCACAUAUGAGGCCGAAUUUGAGCUGCAACAAAGGAAUAUAGAGUUUGAGACAAAUGGAACAUACUUCAACCCUGGUCCAAAGCUGAAAGGAAAUCUCCUUGAUGGCCUAGCACAAGAAAUGAUGAAGUACACAAAUUACCCAAAAGACUAUCAGUGUGAAGAAGUAGCAGCAGCUUUGACAAGGGCACAUCCUUGUUUGGGUCAGCUAGGAUCCAAGACUGGGUUUUGGGGAUGGAAACAGUCACUGAAAUAUAAAAUGCAAAACUACCGAACAAAGCUUAGGCGACUCGGACAUCCCGAAAUCCGUGUGAACUCCUUGAAGCACAAACGAGAAGGCCAAGGCAAAGCGGCAGCCAACAUCAAGAAAGCAAGGAAAGCUGAAGUAAAUUACAUUCCUCUGCACCCAAAAGGGGAAACAAUAGAAAGCUUGGAGAAUGAAAGAAUUGCUUUAUUGUCAGAAGUGAAAAAACGUGACAACGAAGUGUUAAUAAAAGCGAAAAUGGAAAAUACGUUCUAUCUCAGACGUCUAGAGAUUGUGGAGCAGAGGCCAAUGAUAGGAGAGUUUAAAAACAGAUGGCCUGCCCUGUUCGAGGAGAGUGAAGUGAAUGCUGAGUUCCUGCGAAUUACCACCAAGCCACUUCAAUCAAAGUUCAUGUCACAAUUUGACCAAUUCUCAGACAAGCUGAUACACAUCCUCAAGAAGAAAGGAGGGGUGAAGGGGCAAAGGAUCAAGAAUGUCCUUGCAAUCAAAGACUUGUGUGAUGACAUCGACACCAGAAGGGAGUGCAUCCUGAAAAGUGUUGCCAUCUACCUCAAUGAAGAUCCUGACUCUUUCUUUAAGGAAUAUUUGGCCUCUGCCACUGAGGAUGCAGAGAGAGACAUUUCAAGCACAGUCAUGGGGAUUUACAUCAUUCGAAUCGACAGGAACAGGGAGCCAGAGGACGUGGGAGUCGUGAUCGAAGGCCUUAAAGUCCUAAAGAAUGUAGGCAGUAUCAUCCUUGGGUUCAUCAUGCUGUUUGGGCUCAUUUAUGCCCUUGAUUUAAGCUUUCCAGAAAACUUCAAGUACACUUUUAAGUUUUGCCAGAAGAUCGUAAUGAAUUUGGAUGGGCACAAGCUGAAUACGAAGAUACAGCAGCUGAAAAUCAAGUUGUUUGCAUAAGAGAUAAACAUCAGGUGACUAAAAACAUUGCAACAUUGUGUUUCCUCAUCUUUCAGCAGUUUUUCUUUCUUCCCAUUUAUAUAGUCUAUAUUUUAUAUAUAUUACAUUUAUUUUUUAUUUCUCUCUUACCUGUUUGACAAUUGAAUGACUCUUAACACAGGUUGAAAUGAUUCAGAACAUGCUGCAAGAGAUAUUUUCAGUGACUGUUUUUAUUUUAUUUUGUAUUUAAACACUGCAGCUCAGAUUUGGUCCACGCAACCUAUUUGUGAACUGUGUUAAGAACUGUGUUCUUUUUUGAUUUGUUCAGUUGUUGUGGAGUGAAAAAGCUGCAAGAUCUUUGAGUAGCCAGCCAUUCUUUUUUUUAGUUGUUUUUAUGUUAUGACUUUGAGAUGUACUGUAAAAGAAAAAAAAGCACUUUAUUUAUAAUUUUAUUACAUAUGUUUUCAUUUUUUUUCCACAUUUCAUUAAAUAUGCUCUGUUUUAGGUCCAUUUUUGUUUGUGCUCUUAGAACAAGAUAUAAGACAUUUGUGGCCACAAGGUUUUAAGGCCCAGCAGAAAGUUUUCUUCCUUUGGCUUCAUGGACUACUUUUACAGCCCUGUUACAUUUUAAAUUGGUAAUGUAAAACAGGCAGAUAACUCCUGUAUCUUCAAUAUUCAAUGUUAUUAGAUUAUGUAAUUUUGUGUUUUAAAGUAUUUUACAUGUUGUUACUUUAGUAUUCAGAUUGCAAAAUUCAUCAAAAGGCUGCUUUGAGGUACUUGAGAUGCAUUAACAUUUCACGUUAUUGCGCUAUUUCUGUCAUUUGGUUUAAGAUAACUACGCUCAAAUUGUUCUUUGAGAAAUAUGCCACCGUUUUCAAUGUUAAUAUUGUCUUUUGGAUAUUUUUGAUAGUCAUGUUAUGCAUUGGGGAAUUAGAGUUAUUAAUGAUUGAGGUUUGAUAUUUAGAACCAUUUAAAGACUGCACUGUACAGGUCCUAUUUAAACUUAUUUUGUUUUUUCAAUAAAGGGACCUCAGUAAGAUUUGGCAUUUGUGUGUGUGUAUUAUUGGGGGAUUAAAUGGGAAAAGAUUAAUUUAAAAGAAAUAGUUUUUAUUGAGUUGAACAAAUAUAAAUAAGUUUAAUUAAGUGAAUUAAUUUCUUUUUGUUUG